UCGGGAUAGCUCAGUUGGUAGAGCAGAGGACUGAAAAUCCU
rnacentral:tRNA from 1 species